rnacentral:rRNA from 1 species
UGGGGAAUUUUGGACAAUGGGCGAAAGCCUGAUCCAGCAAUGCCGCGUGUGUGAAGAAGGCCUUCGGGUUGUAAAGCACUUUUGUCCGGAAAGAAAUCCUUGGCUCUAAUACAGUCGGGGGAUGACGGUACCGGAAGAAUAAGCACCGGCUAACUACGUGCCAGCAGCCGCGGUAAUACGUAGGGUGCAAGCGUUAAUCGGAAUUACUGGGCGUAAAGCGUGCGCAGGCGGUUUGCUAAGACCGAUGUGAAAUCCCCGGGCUCAACCUGGGAACUGCAUUGGUGACUGGCAGGCUAGAGUAUGGCAGAGGGGGGUUAGAAUUCCACGUGUAGCAGUGAAAUGCGUAGAGAUGUGGAGGAAUACCGAUGGCGAAGGCAGCCCCCUGGGCCAAUACUGACGCUCAUGCACGAAAGCGUGGGGAGCAAACAGGAUUAGAUACCCUGGUAGUCCACGCCCUAAACGAUGUCAACUAGUUGUUGGGGAUUCAUUUCCUUAGUAACGUAGCUAACGCGUGAAGUUGACCGCCUGGGGAGUACGGUCGCAAGAUUAAAACUUAAAGGAAUUGACGGGGUCAUAGCUGUUU